rnacentral:rRNA from 1 species
ACGCUGGCGGCGUGCCUAAUACAUGCAAGUAGAACGCUGAAGCUUGGUGCUUGCACCGAGCGGAAGAGUUGCGAACGGGUGAGUAACGCGUAGGUAACCUGCCUCUUAGCGGGGGAUAACUAUUGGAAACGAUAGCUAAUACCGCAUAAAAGUCGGCAUUGCAUGAUGUUGACUUGAAAGGUGCAACUGCAUCACUAAGAGAUGGACCUGCGUUGUAUUAGCUAGUUGGUGAGGUAACGGCUCACCAAGGCGACGAUACAUAGCCGACCUGAGAGGGUGAUCGGCCACACUGGGACUGAGACACGGCCCAGACUCCUACGGGAGGCAGCAGUAGGGAAUCUUCGGCAAUGGACGGAAGUCUGACCGAGCAACGCCGCGUGAGUGAAGAAGGUUUUCGGAUCGUAAAGCUCUGUUGUAAGAGAAGAACGAGUGUGAGAGUGGAAAGUUCACACUGUGACGGUAACUUACCAGAAAGGGACGGCUAACUACGUGCCAGCAGCCGCGGUAAUACGUAGGUCCCGAGCGUUAUCCGGAUUUAUUGGGCGUAAAGCGAGCGCAGGCGGUUAGAUAAGUCUGAAGUUAAAGGCUGUGGCUUAACCAUAGUACGCUUUGGAAACUGUUUAACUUGAGUGCAGAAGGGGAGAGUGGAAUUCCAUGUGUAGCGGUGAAAUGCGUAGAUAUAUGGAGGAACACCGGUGGCGAAAGCGGCUCUCUGGUCUGUAACUGACGCUGAGGCUCGAAAGCGUUGGGAGCAAACAGGAUUAGAUACCCUGGUAGUCCACGCCGUAAACGAUGAGUGCUAGGUGUUGGGUCCUUUCCGGGACUCAGUGCCGCAGCUAACGCAUUAAGCACUCCGCCUGGGGAGUACGACCGCAAGGUUGAAACUCAAAGGAAUUGACGGGGGCCCGCACA